AACGUAGGAUGCAAGCGUUAUCCGGAUUUACUGGGCGUAAAGCGCGUGUAGGCGGUUUGGUAAGUUGGAUGUGAAAGCUCCUGGCUUAACUGGGAGAGGUCGUUCAAUACUGCCAAGCUUGAGGAUGGUAGAGGGAGGUGGAAUUCCGAGUGUAGUGGUGAAAUGCGUAGAUAUUCGGAGGAACACCAGUGGCGAAAGCGGCCUCCUGGACCAUUUCUGACGCUCAGACGCGAAAGCUAGGGUAGCAAACGGG
rnacentral:rRNA from 1 species